CCUACGGGGGGCAGCAGUGGGGAAUAUUGCACAAUGGGCGCAAGCCUGAUGCAGCCAUGCCGCGUGUGUGAAGAAGGCCUUCGGGUUGUAAAGCACUUUCAGCGGGGAGGAAGGCGUUAAGGUUAAUAACCUUGGCGAUUGACGUUACCCGCAGAAGAAGCACCGGCUAACUCCGUGCCAGCAGCCGCGGUAAUACGGAGGGUGCAAGCGUUAAUCGGAAUGACUGGGCGUAAAGCGCACGCAGGCGGUCUGUCAAGUCGGAUGUGAAAUCCCCGGGCUCAACCUGGGAACUGCAUUCGAAACUGGCAGGCUAGAGUCUUGUAGAGGGGGGUAGAAUUCCAGGUGUAGCGGUGAAAUGCGUAGAGAUCUGGAGGAAUACCGGUGGCGAAGGCGGCCCCCUGGACAAAGACUGACGCUCAGGUGCGAAAGCGUGGGGAGCAAACAGGAUUAGAUACCCGUGUAGUC
rnacentral:rRNA from 1 species